GACGAACCACACGAACGUUAUUCGGAAUUACUGGGCUUAAAGGGUGCGUAGGCUGUGCGGAAAGUUGGGUGUGAAAUCCCCCGGCUCAACCGGGGAAUUGCGCCCAAAACUACCGUGCUAGAGGAAGAUAGAGGUGAGCGGAACUUCGGGUGGAGCGGUGAAAUGCGUUGAUAUCCGAAGGAACACCGGUGGCGAAAGCGGCUCACUGGAUCUUUCUGACGCUGAUGCACGAAAGCUAGGGGAGCAAACGGG
rnacentral:rRNA from 1 species